rnacentral:rRNA from 1 species
AGAGUUUGAUCCUGGCUCAGGACGAACGCUGGCGGCACGCCUAACACAUGCAAGUCGAACGGAGAAAAUGAUUUCGGUUAUUUUCUUAGUGGCGGACGGGUGAGUAACACGUGAGGAACCUGCCUCUGAGAGUGGGAUAGCUUCUGGAAACGGAUGGUAAUACCGCAUAACAUAGCGAAACCGCAUGAUUUGCUAUCAAAGUAUUUCGCUCAGAGAUGGCCUCGCGUCUGAUUAGAUAGUUGGUGAGGUAACGGCUCACCAAGGCGACGAUCGGUAGCCGGACUGAGAGGUUGAACGGCCACAUUGGGACUGAGACACGGCCCAGACUCCUACGGGAGGCAGCAGUGGGGAAUAUUGCACAAUGGGGGAAACCCUGAUGCAGCGACGCCGCGUGGAGGAAGAAGGUCUUCGGAUUGUAAACUCCUGUUGUUGAGGAAGAUAAUGACGGUACUCAACAAGGAAGUGACGGCUAACUACGUGCCAGCAGCCGCGGUAAAACGUAGGUCACAAGCGUUGUCCGGAAUUACUGGGUGUAAAGGGAGCGCAGGCGGGAAGACAAGUUGGAAGUGAAAUCUAUGGGCUCAACCCAUAAACUGCUUUCAAAACUGUUUUUCUUGAGUAGUGCAGAGGUAGGCGGAAUUCCCGGUGUAGCGGUGGAAUGCGUAGAUAUCGGGAGGAACACCAGUGGCGAAGGCGGCCUACUGGGCACCAACUGACGCUGAGGCUCGAAAGUGUGGGUAGCAAACAGGAUUAGAUACCCUGGUAGUCCACACCGUAAACGAUGAUUACUAGGUGUUGGAGGAUUGACCCCUUCAGUGCCGCAGUUAACACAAUAAGUAAUCCACCUGGGGAGUACGACCGCAAGGUUGAAACUCAAAGGAAUUGACGGGGGCCCGCACAAGCAGUGGAGUAUGUGGUUUAAUUCGACGCAACGCGAAGAACCUUACCAAGUCUUGACAUCCUGCGACGGACAUAGAAAUAUGUCUUUCCUUCGGGACGCAGAGACAGGUGGUGCAUGGUUGUCGUCAGCUCGUGUCGUGAGAUGUUGGGUUAAGUCCCGCAACGAGCGCAACCCUUAUGGUCAGUUACUACGCAAGAGGACUCUGGCCGGACUGCCGUUGACAAAACGGAGGAAGGUGGGGAUGACGUCAAAUCAUCAUGCCCUUUAUGACUUGGGCUACACACGUACUACAAUGGCGUUAAACAAAGGGAAGCGAGAGGGUGACCUGGAGCGAAUCCCAAAAAUAACGUCCCAGUUCGGACUGUAGUCUGCAACCCGACUACACGAAGCUGGAAUCGCUAGUAAUCGCGAAUCAGCAUGUCGCGGUGAAUACGUUCCCGGGUCUUGUACACACCGCCCGUCACACCACGGGAGUUGGAAAUGCCCGAAGUCAGUGACCUAACCGCAAGGGAGGAGCUGCCGAAGGUGGAGCCGAUGACUGGGGUGAAGUCGUAACAAGGUA